UCGCUCUGGAUUCUGGCGUCUCAUGGUCGUACAUCAUGCAUCGUCUAGCAAUGAAGAAAUGGCAUCGAACGAGACAACGUCGCACGACGUAGUGGGCCAAGCACGUGGACGGACGCUGCUUAAACAGUUGUGAUUCUCCAAGCUAUCUCCACGCUUCAAAUUUACAUGCGUAUGCCCAUUGUCCACAGUGCUGGUACCUUAUGUGUGAUGGUCAUCUCCGAGCAGAUCAUUUUGUUAUAGCAUCCCCUGGAACAGUACACGCUCUUCGUAGUCACAAUACCCACUGCACAAUACCCCGCAUGCACCCUCAGCUGCAUUAGGCCGUGCUCCUGAAAUUUCUACUCUGCGACACAUUGCCGAAAGAAGUACACAAGACUCUACUGCAUCACGAACAUACUGUCAGUAUAACCCACCUGUACAGAUGACUUGUAAGUUGUGAUUACUUCAUGAAUAAUGAUGCGUGCUGGAUAAAUGCUACAUCUGAAUACACUGAACUAUACUUCAGUUGUUAUAAAUAAUUAGCUUAUGGCCUGUCUGCUAUAGAUUUCUUUUUGUAUACGUCUCAUUUUCUAUGUAUCUCGAUGUCUCAUCCUGUGAUAUAGUGCUCAUUGUAUGUUUUUACACUAGGAACAUAAACUAACUCAAUUACUAGCUCAUAUAGCUAGUCUACAUUUAAUAUUUUUGUUGUGCUGAACUGUUGUGAAGGUGUACAAAUGUCAUUUCAUAUUAGUCAAAAAUAUUGCAGGUAUUGUAAUCUGUUGGUUUAUGGCUAGCGU